GUGCUCCUUCGGCAGCAUAUUUACUAAAAUUGGAACAAUACAGAGAAGACCAGCAU
rnacentral:snRNA from 1 species